AGCUUUCGUUAUAAAAAAGAAAAUGUAUACGUUCAGGUUUCUUUGAUACAUUAACUAAGUACCUAUCAACACAUUUUUGUUUUAAUUUUUUUAACUUAAUAGUAGGCAAAGAAAUUUGAAUUUAAAAACAAGUAGGUACCUAGUUAUGAAAGGUGUCAAUAUAAGAUAGGUAGGUACUAAGAAAAAUGUUAAGGGGAAGAUACAUCUCCAUAAUAUUUCCCUUUAAGUGUAUCAAUGAUUCCUAUUUCUAGUGUCGUUCCAUUAUUUAUUUAAAUUUAAAAUUCAGAAUAACAGGUAAUACAAUAAUAAAACAUGUACAAAAUAAGAUGUUUUAGGUAAGUAUAAUCAGUUAUUAUGUAACUAUUUAAAUAUUAUCACAGUGGUGCAAUUUAUUAAACAAUUAAUAACAUAAAUAACGUAACCCUAUACCUAGGUACUUAAAUUUGUAUCACCUAUAGUAAUAAACUAGGUAUCUCUUUUUAACUGGUUUCACAGUAAAUUAAUUUGCGUAUAGUGUGUAGGUACAAGGUACCCAUUAAAUCGUUAAUAAUUAUAAUAUUUUAUAUUAUUUUGCAUAAUUUACCAAUGUUUUUACAGGACCCUCAACCAUAAAUAUUCAUUAGUAACUCACUCAUUCUUACAAUAAAUAUAGGUACCGACUAUUUACAGAAUAUCAAGAGUGAAAAUUUUUUGAAACAAUAUUAUUAUAGCAAUUUAAAUAAGAUAAUCU